CCUACGGGUGGCAGCAGUAGGGAAUAUUGCUCAAUGGGGGAAACCCUGAAGCAGCAACGCCGCGUGGAGGAUGAAGGUUUUAGGAUUGUAAACUCCUUUUGUCAGAGAAGAUUAUGACGGUAUCUAACGAAUAAGCACCGGCUAACUCCGUGCCAGCAGCCGCGGUAAUACGGAGGGUGCAAGCGUUACCCGGAAUGACUGGGCGUAAAGAGUGCGUAGGCGGCGAAGUAAGUCAGAUGUGAAAUCCCGUAGCUUAACUACGGAACUGCAUUUGAAACUGUUUCUCUGGAGUGUGGGAGAGGUAGGUGGAAUUCUUGGUGUAGGGGUGAAAUGCGUAGAGAUCAGGAGGAACACUCGUUGCGAAGGCGACCUGCUGGACCAUUACUGACGCUGAGGCACGAAAGCGUGGGGAGCAAACAGGAUUAGAUACCCGGGUAGUC
rnacentral:rRNA from 1 species